AUGGUUAUCUAUAUCUUGAAGGAACAAAAAUUGAUAUAAUUGGUGGCCUAGUUCCUAAGACCUGCUUUUCAUCAAUGUGAUUGGACCAAAUUUUUUUAUCUAAUCACAUAUGUAUAUGUAUGUGUUGGUCUAAUCUUUCAAUUAUAUCAACUUUCAAGUGUCAAUAUACGCUUCCGAUUGUUUAACUCAAAUGUCAAAAUCCCAGCCAAAAGC
rnacentral:lncRNA from 1 species